CACCAUCAUUCUCACUCGUCCGAUCUCUCUACACACAGUAUCUUUGUAGGAAAUGAUGUGAUCUGGAUCUGGAAACACUCAGAAAAAUGACAAAGUUUAUCGUGCAUUCAGGCAUCUAGGCUAGCUAUAACGGAUACGUGUAUGAUUUUAUUGCUGCGUAAAGCUCCUAGGCACCCAAGAAGUGGGAAGAUAUUACCAAUAUGCUCAGGAGUCAGGACACUAAUUCUAUGAGAGGAGAAAAGAAAGAGCACGUUUUGAAAAUGCAUGGAAAACCCAUAUACAUCAGAUUGGAAGCUUCAUGACCUUGAUGGAUGACAUGAAGCAGGUAUAAGAAAUUACUCUAGCUGAUUUCUUGGCGAUUAUCAUCUCUCUCUCUCUCUCUCUUUGUUUUUUAAUGACAGGAAACCCCUUCAAGGUAGGGCUAUUUUGUGUAGUAACUCCUAUAGGAUAAACUCGGAACCCAUGCCUCGCACCCCUUUUAGGAUAUGGGCCGUUUAAUUGAGUUGCGAGCUUUGCCCAAAAGGCAAAUUGCAUGCACUCAAAGUCUCGGGCUUUCACUAACUGAGCCAACGGGUUAACUACCAUCCUUUUGCUUAACUAUUUCUAGACGACUAUUUUCAUGACCCCUCAUUCACACUUCGCAAGUGAUUUACUGUGAGAGUUUAGGAAAGAAGCACA